CAUCUACUCCCUCCGUUCGGAAUUAUUUGUCGCAGAAAUGUAUGUAUCUAGAUGUAUUUUAGUUCUAGAUACAUCCAUUUCCGAGACAAGUAAUUCCGAACGGAGGGAGUAUAUC
rnacentral:pre_miRNA from 1 species